rnacentral:ncRNA from 1 species
CGAAUUGCUUCGAAGGAAAGUAAGUAACUCCUCUGUCCCUGUCUCAGAGAACCGAUUAGUGGUGUGAAAUCGGUACAAACAGAGAGAGCGAAUUUCAUUUCUGGAGCUUCUAUGCGUGAGCCAUGGACGGUGACGACUGUUAUACGUGUAAAGUCAUGAAACUCUUGUUUCAUAACUAGGGUGGUACCGCGAUGUAAGUCGCCCCUACA